rnacentral:rRNA from 1 species
UUCGCCCUUAGAGUUUGAUCCUGGCUCAGGACGAACGCUGGCGGCGCGCCUAACACAUGCAAGUCGAACGAGCGAGAGAGAGCUUGCUUUCUCGAGCGAGUGGCGAACGGGUGAGUAACGCGUGAGGAACCUGCCUCAAAGAGGGGGACAACAGUUGGAAACGACUGCUAAUACCGCAUAAGCCCACAGCUCGGCAUCGAGCAGAGGGAAAAGGAGCAAUCCGCUUUGAGAUGGCCUCGCGUCCGAUUAGCUAGUUGGUGAGGUAACGGCCCACCAAGGCGACGAUCGGUAGCCGGACUGAGAGGUUGAACGGCCACAUUGGGACUGAGACACGGCCCAGACUCCUACGGGAGGCAGCAGUGGGGAAUAUUGCACAAUGGGGGAAACCCUGAUGCAGCGACGCCGCGUGGAGGAAGAAGGUCUUCGGAUUGUAAACUCCUGUUGUUGAGGAAGAUAAUGACGGUACUCAACAAGGAAGUGACGGCUAACUACGUGCCAGCAGCCGCGGUAAAACGUAGGUCACAAGCGUUGUCCGGAAUUACUGGGUGUAAAGGGAGCGCAGGCGGGAAGGCAAGUUGGAAGUGAAAUCCAUGGACUCAACCCAUGAACUGCUUUCAAAACUGUUUUUCUUGAGUAGUGCAGAGGUAGGCGGAAUUCCCGGUGUAGCGGUGGAAUGCGUAGAUAUCGGGAGGAACACCAGUGGCGAAGGCGGCCUACUGGGCACCAACUGACGCUGAGGCUCGAAAGUGUGGGUAGCAAACGGGAUUAGAUACCCUGGUAGUCCACACUGUAAACGAUGAUUACUAGGUGUUGGAGGGAUUGACCCCUUCAGUGCCGCAGUUAACACAAUAAGUAAUCCCCCUGGGGAGUACGACCGCAAGGUUGAAACUCAAAGGAAUUGACGGGGGCCCGCACAAGCAGUGGAGUAUGUGGUUUAAUUCGACGCAACGCGAAGAACCUUACCAAGUCUUGACAUCCUGCGACGCACAUAGAAAUAUGUGUUUCCUUCGGGACGCAGAGACAGGUGGUGCAUGGUUGUCGUCAGCUCGUGUCGUGAGAUGUUGGGUUAAGUCCCGCAACGAGCGCAACCCUUAUGGUCAGUUACUACGCAAGAGGACUCUGGCCAGACUGCCGUUGACAAAACGGAGGAAGGUGGGGAUGACGUCAAAUCAUCAUGCCCUUUAUGACUUGGGCUACACACGUACUACAAUGGCGUUAAACAAAGAGAAGCAAGACCGCGAGGUGGAGCAAAACUCAGAAACAACGUCCCAGUUCGGACUGCAGGCUGCAACUCGCCUGCACGAAGUCGGAAUUGCUAGUAAUCGCAGAUCAGCAUGCUGCGGUGAAUACGUUCCCGGGCCUUGCACUCACCGCCCGUCA